GAUGAACGCUGGCGGCGUGCCUAAUACAUGCAAGUCGAGCGAACAGACGAGGAGCUUGCUCCUCUGCCGUUAGCGGCGGACGGGUGAGUAACACGUGGAUAACCUACCUAUAAGAAUGGGAUAACUUCGGGAAACCGGAGCUAAUACCGGAUAAUAUAUUGAACCGCAUGGUUCAAUAGUGAUAGACCGUUUUGCUGUCACUUAUAGAUGGAUCCGCGCCGCAUUAGCUAGUUGGUAAGGUAACGGCUUACCAAGGCGACGAUGCGUAGCCGACCUGAGAGGGUGAUCGGCCACACUGGAACUGAGACACGGUCCAGACUCCUACGGGAGGCAGCAGUAGGGAAUCUUCCGCAAUGGGCGAAAGCCUGACGGAGCAACGCCGCGUGAGUGAUGAAGGUCUUCGGAUCGUAAAGCUCUGUUAUUAGGGAAGAACAAAUGUGUAAGUAACUAUGCACGUCUUGACGGUACCUAAUCAGAAAGCCACGGCUAACUACGUG
rnacentral:rRNA from 1 species